rnacentral:rRNA from 1 species
UGGGGAAUAUUGCACAAUGGGCGAAAGCCUGAUGCAGCGACGCCGCGUGCGGGAUGAAGGCCUUCGGGUUGUAAACCGCUUUUGAUUGGGAGCAAGCGAGAGUGAGUGUACCUUUCGAAUAAGCACCGGCUAACUACGUGCCAGCAGCCGCGGUAAUACGUAGGGUGCAAGCGUUAUCCGGAAUUAUUGGGCGUAAAGAGCUCGUAGGCGGUUUGUCGCGUCUGGUGUGAAAGUCCAUCGCUUAACGGUGGAUCUGCGCCGGGUACGGGCAGGCUAGAGUGCGACAGGGGAGGCUGGAAUUCCCGGUGUAACGGUGGAAUGUGUAGAUAUCGGGAAGAACACCAAUGGCGAAGGCAGGUCUCUGGGUCGUCACUGACGCUGAGGAGCGAAAGCGUGGGGAGCGAACAGGAUUAGAUACCCUGGUAGUCCACGCCGUAAACGGUGGAUGCUGGAUGUGGGGCCCAUUCCACGGGUUCCGUGUCGGAGCUAACGCGUAAGCAUC